AUCCUACUGGAGAUCAAAAGUAUGGUGAUUGGAUUUUUAUAUCAUUGUAUGAAAUGUUCCUCCUUCAAACCUUGUUAUGACAUUGGCACAGAACCUACCUGACA
ensembl:snoRNA